rnacentral:rRNA from 1 species
UACAGAGGGGGCAAGCGUUGUUCGGAAUUACUGGGCGGAAAGGGCGCGUAGGCGGCCUUCUAAGUCGAACGUGAAAUCCCUCGGCUUAACCGGGGAACUGCGCUUGAUACUGGAUGGCUUGAGAUUGGGAGAGGGAUGCGGAAUUCCAGGUGUAGCGGUGAAAUGCGUAGAUAUCUGGAGGAACACCGGUGGCGAAGGCGGCAUCCUGGACCGGCAUUGACGCUGAGGAGCGAAAGCCAGGGGAGCAAACGGG